UACGUAGGGUGCAAGCGUUGUCCGGAAUUAUUGGGCGUAAAGAGCUCGUAGGCGGUUUGUCGCGUCUGCUGUGAAAACUCGGGGCUUAACUCCGGGCCUGCAGUGGGUACGGGCAGACUAGAGUGCGGUAGGGGAGACUGGAAUUCCUGGUGUAGCGGUGAAAUGCGCAGAUAUCAGGAGGAACACCAGUAGCGAAGGCGGCACUCUGGGCCGGUACUGACGCUGAGGAGCGAAAGCGUGGGGAGCGAACAGG
rnacentral:rRNA from 1 species